GACGAACGCUGGCGGCGUGCUUAACACAUGCAAGUCGAACGGUGAACUCCGCUUGCGGGGGGAUCAGUGGCGAACGGGUGAGUAACACGUGGGCAACCUGCCCUCAGCUCUGGGAUAACUCCAAGAAAUUGGGGCUAAUACCGGAUAUGACCGCUGACCGCAUGGUCUGGUGGUGGAAAGAUUUAUCGGCUGGGGAUGGGCCCGCGGCCUAUCAGCUUGUUGGUGGGGUAGUGGCCUACCAAGGCGACGACGGGUAGCCGGCCUGAGAGGGUGACCGGCCAGACUGGGACUGAGGCACGGCCCAGACUCCUACGGGAGGCAGCAGUGGGGAAUAUUGCGCAAUGGGCGAAAGCCUGACGCAGCGACGCCGCGUGGGGGAUGACGGCCUUCGGGUUGUAAACCUCUUUCAGCAGGGACGAAGCGAAAGUGACGGUACCUGCAGAAGAAGCACCGGCCAACUACGUG
rnacentral:rRNA from 1 species